UAAUAUCUUUGUCUUUUUUUUUUUAUUUUUUUUUUGGGGAUGGAGUCUCGCUCUGUCGCCCAGGCUGGAGUGCAGUGGCACAAUCUUGGCUCACUGCAAUCUCUGCCUCCAGGGUUCACACCAUUCUCCUGCCUCAGCCUCUCAAAUAGCUGGGUCUACAGGAGCCCGCCACCAGGCCCGGCUAAUUUUCUGUAUUUUUAGUAGAGUCGGUGUUUCACCGUGUUAGCCAGGGUGGUCUCGAUCUCCUGACCUCGUGAUCCACCCACCUCGGCCUCCCAAAGUGUUAGGAUUACAGGUGUGAGCCGCUGCGCCCGGCCCUUUGUCUUUCUUUUAAUUUAUACAUAACUGUUACUUUCUUCCUGUCCAAAAUUUGGCUGUAAAGUUAAAAUUGCAUUAAGGUUGCUUAAGACCGUUAGUGGAUAUUUUUGUUUUCCCGGUCUUCAUUAUAUGCACUUCAUAUUUCCUGGAAAUAUUCCUACUCUUGAUGACAACUAUGUCUCUACAGCCCAUUACAGUUAAAACAAAGAGCCUAUGCAAUACUUUUUGUUACUAGCUCACAACUGAGAGUGAAGUAGAAGAGUAUGUCUUAUUUGAUAGACAUAAUUCUAGGUUUCAAGACCUUUCAAUUGACAGAAAUCAAGACAGUGAGACAAGACCAGGCGGGUUCUCAUUUCUUCAUUUUCUCACUAUGCUCUAUCUAUCUAGAGCUGGUCCCAAAAGACAGAACUAACAGUUUCAGCCACGCUGUUCAGUCCCAGCCAUGAACAAGAGCUUCUGCCCUGUGUCUCUCCAUUCAUCCUCCAUUCAUGCUUAUCCUUAACUUUGGACCUCUUAAGCACAGCAUCAGCAGGGAAGAUUGAUAUAGGGAAAUAGAAAAAAAACCUAGGAUAGGUUAACAUCAUAUACAACAGGAUCUGGGGAGCAUGGUCCUUCCUGCCUGUUUGCAACCUAUCCCAGUAUAUUAAACUAGG
rnacentral:lncRNA from 1 species